GGAGCCAGUUUCAUUGCUCUGCAGCUUCUGAGGGCAAAGCUUCGCACUCAUGCAUUAGCUGUUUAACAAUUCAGGAAGCAGAUAGGAGUAGCUCAAAAUUUUCAAUCCAAGUUUUUGCUAUCUCAGGCUUCUCAUCUGCUGUCUGCUGUUGAGGUGGUGCCAAGAUCUAUGAACCGAUGGGUUAGAUUGAUCGGAUUUGCAGCUGUUCUUGGACAGAGGAAUUCAUCUUGAGAGGUUCUCGUCAUUUGAAGAUUUAUUAAGUUCCGCUGCUGCUUUUCUCUCUUGGUCUUGGGCGGAGGAAUUCAUCAUGAGUACUACUCAUCAGUUGAUGAUUGGUUAAGUUCGCUGCUACUUUUCUUUCUUGGUCGUUCACAGAUCAUGAGUUCUAUUCGAUCCACGGUGGUGCUGAGAUCCUGAACCUAUGGGUUAAUUAGACUGAUGGAAUUUGAAGAGCAGAUUUUCUGUCUUGGUCUUCCAAGGAGGAAUUCAUCCUGAGUAGUUCUUAAACGAGGAAUUCAUCAUGUGUCCCAAUCAGAUGAAGAUUGGAUUGUGCGCUCUUUAGUUAGUUAGAGAAGAGGAAGAGGAGGGGUUACCUUGUUGCCGCUGUCUGAAGCUUCUCAGUUCAAAGUCUCGUACUCCUGCAUUUCUGGUCCGGUUUAGGGGUGGCCUAGCUAGCAGCUAGCGGUCAUAGUUGAAGAACAAGAUCAGAGUACUUCGGAAUUUUCAAUAUACAUACUUGUGUUUUGGCAAGCUGCUGUUAUCUGCCGUCACGGGGGGUAGGCGAGACAUCUUCCGACCAAUGGGUUAGACUGGUUGAAUUUGAUCGAGUCCUCAUCGGUUGACACUGAUUGAUUAAAUUUCUAACUGAUUUUCUCCAUUGGUCAUCAGCAGAGGAAUUCGUCAUGAAUGGUCCUAUUCCGUCGGUAAUACUAUUUGUGCAUAUUAUGUUCACAAGUUAAACAGCUAGGAA